UCCUCGGUGGCGCAAUUGGCUAGCGCGUCGUAAGUUAUCACUUCGAUAGAUGUUCUAAUACACUGUCUAACAAUAUUCCAGUGACUGUUAAUCAGGAGGUUGAAAGUUCGAGCCUUUCCCGGGGAG